CCCUUAGAUGUUCUGGGCUGCACGCGCGCUACACUGAUGCGCUCAACGAGUUUACGACCUUGCCCGGAAGGGUUGGGUAAUCUUUUUAAAACGCAUCGUGAUGGGGAUAGAUUAUUGCAAUUAUUAAUCUUUAACGAGGAAUUCCUAGUAAGCGCGAGUCAUCAGCUCGUGCUGAUUACGUCCCUGCCCUUUGUACACACCGCCCGUCGCUCCUACCGAUUGAGUGGUCCGGUGAGGCUUUGGGAUCUGAGCGGAAAGAGCGUUUCGCUGUUUCUGCUCGGAAAACUCAGUCGAACCUUAUCAUUUAGAGGAAGGAGAAGUCGUAACA
rnacentral:rRNA from 1 species